UUAAUUAAAGCCAAAAAGAGGCAUAUUAUUGUUAAUAAUAUAAUUGAAUAUAUAAUUCUAAUUAAA
rnacentral:tRNA from 1 species